rnacentral:misc_RNA from 1 species
GAAACAUUCAAGUUGAGGAUUCAUCAAGUAUUCCAUGGAAAAAGAAAACCAGGUUUUGGAUUUACGAUAGACUGCACAAUCUUUAGUAGUUCAAAUGUUCCAGGUUACAAUGAGGGCCAAGGUCGCACUACUUCUUAAGUCUCGAAGACAACUGAUUAUAGGAAAAUCCCAAUCAUGCCAUUAGACAAAAAAGCUAAAGACAAGCAAGGUUCUGAAAGUGGAAGAUUACUUCCAUUGAUCUAUAAACGCAAACGUAAGUUCAAGAGGAUUAAGAGCACUUUACAACAACUGUACAAAAACAUAUUCUGCAAUCUACAAUGAUACAAAUGAGCCAGCUUCUACUAAGGGUUGGCAGUCUUUGUACCCGUCGAUAGAGCAGUUGGAGAUAUAAUGUGGGGAGACCUGAUCUCCAUUAAUCACCGUGUCAUAACUAGACAGUUCACUUUUGACAGUAUUCACAUUGUCAAGUACUCGGCUUCUUUUCACUGGUCUUGCUUCGGAAGGGUGAUAACAAGGAGAAAUGGCGGGAAGCUGCAGCAGAGUUGUUCAUCUUAGUAAUAUAUGAAAUUUAAAAACAUGGAGAACAUGAUUAAUUGAAAAGUGAGAACAUACCCUUUUGAGUAGUACUAGCAGUAGGGGUCUCAUCUUGAGAGAUCAGAUUCUUCAAUGUAUGAACUGGCGAUGACAACCAAAUAUUCAGGUCAGCUUCCAGUGCAGAUAUUACCGAUCAUAAUUUAAAGCUUUUACUAAAAGUAUCCACCAGCAUAAAAUUCAUCUUCAAAACGGUUCAAAUUUCAAUACUAGUGCGCAAACUUCAUUCAUGCAUAGAUAGAUAAUUAACUGAUACAACCCAUUUCUGUCAAUGUGAACACUGUUAAGCAAUCAGGACAAGUUACUGAUUGAAUUAGGAAGAAACAAAACACCGAACAGAAAACUCUCAGGGUUCUAAAUAUCCUGAAAUGCUGCAUUAUAACUAGUACAUCCAUAUAAUAAAAGAACACAUCAUAAACAUUAACAUGUAAGAGGCACAAAGCCAUUUACAUGUUACAUGGCUGAAGCUCAUUUAAUAUCAAACACACUGAAUUUUCACAUAUAUUUGCCCCAUAAUUCAAAAGAAUCAGCGACUGGACCAUAUGAUGAAAGCUUCAGAAAAUAAUAAGUUUUUUUUAACAUUACACUGUCCAAAGAAGAAAACAAAUAUGACAGCGCAAUUUCUUCCUUCAAGAUGCUUUACCAAUUUGAAAAAUUAAGGUAAAAAAAUCUUUAGCAUGUACUUUUCGGAUCUACCAAAAAGAAAAAAUUUUUAUCAUGCAAUUGAAUUCCUGAUUACACUAAUCUACCAUUGGAUGGAGGAAUUUGAAAAGUGAGAUUCAAAUUUGAUAAUCCAUAAAUUUUCUUUCAUCAAUUGAUUCAUAAAUUUAGAUUAAGAUAAUAAAUGUGACACAAAUCACAUUUGAGAGUAAAUUUAAAAUGCCCGAUAGAAAGGAAUCAUUUGAAAUCCACAUCAAAUGAGUUCUCAACCACAUCCAUGAAUCUAUAUCUUAGUAAACAAUCCGUCAACUUUCGUUCUAAUAAUUUAAAUUUCAAUUAAAAUCAAACUCAAAUCUCUUAUUUCACAUCAUUGCAUCCAAACAUAUAUAGCAUAAUGUAUCUUUUGAUUGAUUUCACUUAUACAGAGACAGAAAAAUUUAGAGAUGAUUAUCAUGUUGCAGUAGAGAGUGAAAUAUGUCUAACAUAUUAGCCAUAUUUCUUCACUGAAUGUUUCCACAAUUUGUUAGUUAUAUUUAGCAGACCUUGAUUAGUUCCUAGAACUAUUUUGGAUCUUCCAUUGAUUAGUGAUCACAAGAAAGAGGGAGUACAAUGCUUUUACCUUCGCUAGAGGAAGCAAUGUUCACACCACAAUCAUCUGGCUCAGAACCAUUCACACUGCCAUUAUCCAAUUCAACAUUGCGUUCGCUGGCAGUAUGACUCUUUUUUCCAAACUUCAGCAGCCUUCUAAACCCUUUCGAUGAUUCCUUCACCUGAGGCUUAUCUAAUGCUUCAGGGAUCUUUUCUAAUUUCAAGCUUUUAGGAUCAGAUACAUGAACUUUGAGAGCCUCUGCAUAUGUUGUCGUCGGUAAGCUUGUUGGAGGUGCUUUACCAUACUCUGAAUUCCCAGUACAUGGAUCUUCCAGAGAAGAGACCCGAGCAAAAGGAGCUUGGUAUGGUUUUUCAGCAAGGGUAAUACUUGAAUGCUUUGGCAAUUCCUUCUUGACAUUACCAGCAUUUUCAGUUGUGGCCCUAAUUGCACUGGGUAGCACUUCUAAUUGGUGUUCACUAGGUUCUCUGUCAACCCCAUCCAUGGUAAAUGGUGAAACUGGUGCUCGAACAGCUGCAUAGUUUGACAAAGUCUCAGCUUUCUCUCCUAAUAUAUAGUUACUAGAGUGCCCCUUUUCUGACCCCAUAUUUUCUUCUGAAGAUUGUACAGCAGGAAUGGAUGGCUUUUCACGUUCUAGUAUAACAACAGUCUUUUCAAUUAUUUGAUUGUCAUCACCAUCACCAUGAUGUGAUAUUACAUCACUAUUCCUUUUCAGCUCAGCACCUCCAGAAGCUGUGCUGGACUUGCUUGCGUUCACCUUCUGGGGCAUUUUUUUAACGCCUGAAUUGCCUUCAGGAACUUCAGGUCCUUUAGUGGUUUUAAUCUUCAGUUCUGGGAGAGAUGCAGUCUUGCUUUUAUCAUGGUUCAUGAUUGCAGAUAUUUUCUUGCUUGCAGGUCCAUUUGACACUUUUGGCUUUGAUACUGGUUCAGUGUUUUGUGGCUUAACUGAAGAAGUAUGAUAGCUGCUACUAAUUUUAGGUUCCGAUAAUCUUCUAAUCCGGGCCAUGGAUGUCUUUGCAGCAGGUAUUACACUUCCAUUCUCUUUCUUUGGUUCAGGCAAUGAUGAUACUGACCGGCUUAACCUAUUUCUGGCUGAGUUACCGCUAGUACUUAAUUUGUUGGAUUUAGAACCUUUAAGAGAAUCACUAGAUCCUGCAGAAACAGUUCUGACUGGGAACCUUUGUAAAGGUGAUACUGAUCCAGGCUCCGAAUCACUAAACUUUGAUCCUUUGUAAGAGCUUGGGGAAAGUUUUGCUAGCAAUUGUUUUCUGGUUUGGUGUGAAGAUGGCUGAGCAGGAAUGGAGCUGCCUCUAGCAGCAAUUCUCUUUUGCCUCUCUAACUUCAAAGCUUCUAGACGUUUUCUCUCCUCGUCUUCCUUCUCCUUCUUCAUUUUCUGGAGAUCAGCUUUAAAGGUUCUUAGCCUCUCAGCACGUGCCUUUGCUUCAUCCAAAUGACUCAACUUUGAAGGUUUCCCUUUCUUUAUUGGUCCCACCAUCUUCUUCUUAUCUGAAUUAUCCGGAAUAAGUUUUGAUUUCCUGUCCUUGUCUACCUUUUUAGUGCCUUUCCUGACACCAUUUUUAGCACGAACUUGCAUAUCAUAAUCUAAAGCAGGGUCGUAACCAACUGUCCCCAUUUCUGUCCCACGCUCAGGCAACAAACUUAAAUCAUCAGGCUCAUAUUUGACUUGGCUCCCAACCCUGUUAGAUAAGUUUUCCACUUGAGAUGAUGGGAACUCAGAGUCCACGUCAAUUGCACAUCUUCCAACAGUUCCAACUUGAUCUACUGAGACUGACCUCAAUGAAACCACAUAUGAAUCAUCAUCCAUAUUAUGUGAUGAACUACCGUCCAAAUCUUUGUUUGGAUGCACAAAUCCAUUUACAGCCAAUGGAUCUGUAGGUGAGGUCAUAUAACCAGACUGGUUUUCUUGUCUGUGCAUUAUAAAGUCAUCAUUUGUUGACCUCCUAUAUCUACCUUUCCUUGCAUUUACCUCUGCAGAUUGUAUAUCGAUUUGACCAUCCAUGAAGCUUCCACCAUCACUAGAUUGACCCAUUCUUCUUGAUAUCAGUGAUUCAUCAUUUGAGGCCUUAGUCAUGUGGGUCAAGUUUCCACUAAUUCCCUGCAUAUCUAUCAUAUUCCCUUCUUGAUUGUCACCUACAUCUCGUUCAUCAAAAACUAAAGGAUCACAACCUGCUGUAUUUUGUCGUCUUCUGACUCGAACAUCCUUUUCCAUUGCAAACAUACCUUUAUCCACAACAUGUUCAGCUUCGUCUGCACCCUUUAGCAAAUAACUUUGAAAUGCUUGCCAGUGUCCACCAUCUGUCUCAUUCCCAUGAAUUGUUCCUUCCAUGUCUGAUGAAUCUAACUUAUCUACAGAUUUGGUAUGGAUUCCUUUACUUUUUGAGGAUCUCAGAGAGUUCUUGUGCUUGCCACUUGAAGUAGUCACAGAUAAAUCUCCCUCUUCCUCAUCAGUUUCAGAACCAGAAGCUGAUUGUGAUUCACUAUCAGAUGAUUCCUGCCUCUUUGAAGUGAUAUAGUUAAUGUUCCGAAUAACAACUUUGCCGGAUUGCUUUUUAUUUGAUCGACUAGACUUUCUUCCCGAUUCUGUAUCCACCUCCCCAGUUUCAGUGUCAUUAUUUCCAUCCCAACUAUCCAUCGAAUGCCUUCUUUGUCCCUUUCUUUGACCUGCAUUAAGUCUAGCAUCUUCCCCUGAUGGAUGCAGUGGCUGGAAAAACGGGCCGCUUCCGGGAUGAUUCUGAUAGUAAGGAAUGCCUUGCAUAGGAUAUCCCUGAAACACAGGCAAUGCACCAGGUGGAGAAUGAAUAGGCCAAGGAGGGAACAUUGGAUGUGGAAACUGGCCUUGAAAAUAUUCUUGCUGGCUUGGAGAUGGUUGUUGAUCCAUGGGAGGCUUUUCAUCUUUACUGGAGUCAACACCUGCUUUCCGAUUACUAUCUGGGGUCUCAGGCCACUGCUUGUUGAUUGCACUAGAAAGAACAAUGCCAGAUGCAUUCAUGGCAGAGAAGUCUGAUCGGCUAGAUAUUGCCUCACCCGCUUCAAUUUCAACCCAUUGGCCGGUUUCAUGCUUUCUUUUCCACAAGCCCAAAAAUCUCACACAUGCAUCCAUUAGGCGUGCGGCUCCAAAACUCUCAGCAAAUGACAUCAAUGGUGCCAAGUUGUCAACAUCAAAACCAGCAGCUACGGCACGGGCAAAGGCCAUGCCUUGCUCUUUCUGCAGCACAGUUUUGCGUGUCUCUAGAACUUUCAUAAGCUGAACUUUUGAAUUUCCCUCCUGUGUUGUUGAUCCAUUUGCUUCAGCUGGGUGUGCACCAGGCUGCCAGAUAACAAAGAGAUCAAAUUAAAGAAAUUUAAUGGUUCACUAUGCAAUGAUAAUUAUUUGGUGUGCACCCACUUUAUAAAGGACUAUCGCUUUCUCCUCAUUACAAUUCAGCAGAGGCCUGCUACCUUCAAUGCAUUCCACAGGUUUUGCUUUAUGAUCUUCUUCCAUGGUCAACCCUAUUUCAUUGCUACUUUGAAUUGCAAUCGCCUCUUCGAUCUGCAAGAUCUCAGAUUCCAAGGUAUAAACACGUUCCAAGACCUCAGGAGUGCUCACAAAACGAACAAACCUUUCAACUGUUCCUCUUGUGAACCAUGUUGCUUCAUUUCCAGGCUCUGGCUCAAGAAUAAUUGAGUAACCCCCCUUGGCCAUUUGAUCUUGCGCAGUCUUCAAGUGGGCAAGAAAUGGAUUAACCAAACCGGAAGCUAUUUUCUCCGUCUUUCCAUUUGCAGAGAUAACCAAAUCACACCUUGUCCGAGUUGGAGUGAGCUGAAAAACAGCUGAGUCCAGCCGAGUUGAGGACUUCAUUGUUGCCAAAAAACGGAUCUUUAGUCGCCUCUAGAAUGAGAUCAAUCACUCAUCAAAUGGGAACCGAAAAGAACCCAAAAAAUGAAACAUAAAUUAAAAAAAAAAAAAAAAA